UGAUCAGCCACACUGGGANUGAGACACGGCCCAGACUCNUACGGGAGGCAGCAGUGGGGAAUAUUGGACAAUGGGCGAAAGCCUGAUCCAGCAAUGCCGCGUGAGUGAUGAAGGCCUUAGGGUUGUAAAGCUCUUUUACCCGGGAUGAUAAUGACAGUACCGGGAGAAUAAGCCCCGGCUAACUCCGUGCCAGCAGCCGCGGUAAUACGGAGGGGGCUAGCGUUGUUCGGAAUUACUGGGCGUAAAGCGUACGUAGGCGGCUUUGUAAGUUAGAGGUGAAAGCCCGGGGCUCAACUCCGGAAUUGCCUUUAAGACUGCAUCGCUUGAAUCAUGGAGAGGUUAGUGGAAUUCCGAGUGUAGAGGUGAAAUUCGUAGAUAUUCGGAAGAACACCAGUGGCGAAGGCGACUAA
rnacentral:rRNA from 1 species